GACAACCCUUACUCCACCCGCAGCCUCAGCACCUAAUGAUUGUGCACGGCCGCGCACUUACUCCUCUUGAGCUGAAUUCAGGGUGUUCUUGGAAGGGCGCUGGACCCACGGAAAGGGUAGUCGCCGUGUGUCCAGGAAACGACUCACGAAUUAUUCCUAACUGCAGAUACUCCCCCAAACUCACGUCCAACUCCUUGGUUGAUGCUUGGAACUUUACAGGAAGGAGCAGUCGAUUUUCAACAAGUAUUUAUUGGUCACCUUUUCCACUUGAGGACUCAGAUCUCAACUGAAAUUAGGACUUUCUUCUUGGAACCAGCUAUCCCAGGACUUGAGCCAGUAUUAAACAUGUGCCAGAGAGUAGCUCUCUCCGUUCCCAAAAUCCAUGGUUAAGGAAUUUUCACAGGCACCAUAAAUCACUCCUGUGACAUUUAUUGCACCCCUUCCAAGACUCUUGUGCCAGGCCCUGAAAAGUGGAUUGACUCAACAAAGUUGAGAUGUAGGUGGGACAGCUUGGUUUGUCAGAGAAGAUGACACUGGAGAUUAGAGUUGGGCUUUCAGGCAUGUUUAAGAUUUUUCUGGGAGAGGGUUUUCCAAAUAUAAUAACAUGUGCAAAAGCACUGGGGCACAAAAGAGCCUGCCAUACUCUGGGUUAACUUGACCUUGAGGCAAGGGACAGGAAGCAGGAUGCCAAAAAAUGAAGGCCACAGUGGAGUCUGGUGUGACUGGAGGCAGGUGUUAUGUAGCUGACUCUCAGGGAUCAGUGAGAAGCCCAGAUUGAAGGAGAACAUGGUUGCAGUGUUUCCACUAGAGGCUUGAAGAGAUUUCAAAUAGCUAAUGAGAAUCAUCCCAGGGUUCGGAGCCAGCAAGGCUUGCUUUCAGGUUAUGUGCUGUUCUUUAUCGCUGUGCAACCUCAUAGGAGUUUUCUCAUCUCUGAGAGGACAGUCAUAGCCACCGUGCAUAAGGAAGCUGUGAAGUCAAUGUGUGCAAAGCACUCAGCUCAAGCACCAGCAGGAAGUCAGUGCUAGGCUUGUGUUGGCUGUGGCAUUGGGAGGCAAGGAGAGAAACAGUGGAGAUGGAAAAGGAAGGUCAGGAGCUACAGAAGUGUGGGGGAGUCACAGGUGACAGAGGUUUCUAAAUUCAGGCAAAGGAUGAAUCAGGAGAGGAGAAGGGAGUUAUCAAGAGAGGAAAGCCUGGAAAAGAAAGAGGGUGUGUCAGGCAUGCAGAAUAGCACUGGCCACACGAAGUCUGGCCUUGCAGCGUGUGAACUUGAGACAAGAAAAGCAGGAUCAACUGCAGGGUUUGGCAGAGGGAGAGGGAUGAGGAAUUCGGAUUUUUUUGCAAAGACGUUUGCUGAGCAUCUACCUUGUGCCAGGCUCCAUGCCGAGAAGAGACUCCAAGUGAGCAACCUGCACAUCCUGCCAAAGAACUCAAGGAAGGUGAGCAGGAGACCAUGUGCUCAGAUAGAGGUCUGCAGGGAUGGACCUGGGGCGACUGGAGAAGCAGCCUGUAACCUGGCAUGAUGGAGAGCCCUCCAAUCACAAUAAGAUAUCAGGAUGGCAGAGGGAGAAGACAGCACCCUCUCCUGUGGGCAAUGUCUUGGAUGCAGUGAAUUUGAGGUCAGGAACAAUGAAUUUGAGGUCAGACACAAAUGACUGGAGUUUGGGUGAAAUGUAAAUAAGAAUCAGAUGGGAGCGUCUGCUAUGUUUCACAGGCUUGAAAGCAACCUGGGCACAAGGACUUGCUCAUCACUGUAUCCUCAGCCCCCAGUACAUGCCUGGCCUAGAGCAGGCACUCACCAUAUUCUUUCAACUUUAUCAAAGACAUGUGCAGAUAUCUCAAGGGUACUGAAGAGCUUAUUCAGUGACGAAAAACAAGGAUCUCUACAUCCUCAGGUCAACUCCUGGAAGCCACUGCAGUUGUUCCAUUUGAACCGUUUUUCUGCCUAAUUACCUUUUUAUCUCUGCAAGUUCACAAGCUCAUUCUUCACUUAUCAGUUCUUUGCUGAUGUAAAGGUACCAGGCAGUCUCCCGGUCCUCCCAACAUCAAUUGCUUUAGAUCUGCUGAUUCCUAUAAACUGAAUAUACUCAUAUUAUUAUUUUCAUAAACUUUACACAGUAUUUUUUUUGAGAGAGAGAGAGAGAAAGAAAGAGAGAGAGAGAAUUUUUUAUUUUUUGGUGGACACAACAUCUUUAUUUUAUUUGUAUGUGGUGCUGAGGAUCGAACCUAGCACCCCACCCAUGCCAGACGAGCCCACUACGGCUUGAGCCACAUCCCCAGCCCAAGACAGUAUCUUUUGAUACUCCACAAAGUAAGAUAUUUUUAGAGCUCCUUCGUUCUCUUUAGCUUUUCUCUCUGCCUUCUAUCUCCCCGAAACUCUAACCUGCACUUUUGGUGUCUGAAUAUUGAGACGAUAUCGUUGUCCCAUAACCACAGUCACAUUUUCCAAAUAUUUUCUAGAUAUUGAGUCUAAAAAUUGAAAGUUAAUGAACAAGAUUUGUUUUAUUGUAACUAACUUCUAUUCGUUGCAAAAACCAAGGGAAGAAGGUAUCAUGGUUACCUUUUCUUUCUUUUUUUUUUUUAAUACCUUUAUUCCAUUUAUUCAUUUGUAUGUGGUGCUGAGGAUUAAUCCCAGGGCCUCACAUGUGCUAGACAAGCUAUAGCCCAGCCCCUACCUUUUCUUUCUUACCCAGCUUUUUGUUUUUCCUAGAAAUUCAUGUUGCCUUUUUCUUACACCCUUUGGUUUUAUCAUAGUGUUAGUUUCCCCUCAACUGCCAUGUCUGGUCAAUUGUUCGGUUAGAAUUUCUUUUUUCAGAUCUACUAUCUAGAACCCUCUGUUUGCUGCACCAAAUCUGAACUGAUUGUUGGCCUCUAUCUAGUAGAUAUCUGGGACUUGGCUAUUUUGCUGGGAUAGACAUGUUAUUUCCUUCUAGACUUUCUUGUUGUACAU
rnacentral:lncRNA from 1 species